GCCCGGGUGGCUCAGUCGGUUGAGCGUCCGACUUCGGCUCAGGUCAUGAUCUCGUGGUUCGUGAGUUCGAGCCCCGCGUCGGGCU
rnacentral:tRNA from 1 species